UACGUAGGUGGCGAGCGUUGUCCGGAUUUACUGGGCGUAAAGAGCGCGCAGGCGGUCGUGCAAGUCGGAUGUGAAAGCCCCCGGCUCAACUGGGGAGGGUCAUUCGAUACUGCUCGACUUGAAGGCGGGAGAGGGAAGCGGAAUUCCCGGUGUAGUGGUGAAAUGCGUAGAUAUCGGGAGGAACACCAGUGGCGAAGGCGGCUUCCUGGCCCGUUCUUGACGCUGAGGCGCGAAAGCUAGGGGAGCAAACGGG
rnacentral:rRNA from 1 species